rnacentral:rRNA from 1 species
AGUGAACGCUGGCGGUAGGCCUAACACAUGCAAGUCGAACGGAAGCACAGUAAGAGCUUGCUCUUACGGGUGGCGAGUGGCGGACGGGUGAGGAAUACAUCGGAAUCUACUUUUUCGUGGGUGAUAACGUAGGGCAACUUACGCUAAUACCGCAUACGACCUACGGGUGAAAGCAGUGGAUCUUCGGACCUUGCGCGAUUGAAUGAGCCGAUGUCGGAUUAGCUAGUUGGCGGGGUAAAGGCCCACCAAGGCGACGAUACGUAGCUGAUCUGAGAGGAUGAUCAGCCACACUGGAACUGAGACACGGUCCAGACUCCUACGGGAGGCAGCAGUGGGGAAUAUUGGACAAUGGGCGCAAGCCUGAUCCAGCCAUACCGCGUGGGUGAUGAAGGCCUUCGGGUUGUAAAGCCCUUUUGUUGGGAAAGAAAAGCAGCAGGUUUAUACCCCGCUGUUCUGACGGUACCCAAAGAAUAAGCACCGGCUAACUUCGUG